rnacentral:rRNA from 2 species
GGGUGGUAAUGCCGGAUGUUCCACAUGAUCGCAUGUGAUUGUGGGAAAGAUUCUAUCGGCGUGGGAUGGGGUCGCGUCCUAUCAGCUUGUUGGUGAGGUAACGGCUCACCAAGGCUUCGACGGGUAGCCGGCCUGAGAGGGCGACCGGCCACAUUGGGACUGAGAUACGGCCCAGACUCCUACGGGAGGCAGCAGUGGGGAAUAUUGCACAAUGGGCGCAAGCCUGAUGCAGCGACGCCGCGUGAGGGAUGGAGGCCUUCGGGUUGUAAACCUCUUUUGUUUGGGAGCAAGCCUUCGGGUGAGUGUACCUUUCGAAUAAGCGCCGGCUAACUACGUGCCAGCAGCCGCGGUAAUACGUAGGGCGCAAGCGUUAUCCGGAUUUAUUGGGCGUAAAGGGCUCGUAGGCGGCUCGUCGCGUCCGGUGUGAAAGUCCAUCGCUUAACGGUGGAUCUGCGCCGGGUACGGGCGGGCUGGAGUGCGGUAGGGGAGACUGGAAUUCCCGGUGUAACGGUGGA